UACGUAAGGUCCGAGCGUUGUCCGGAUUUAUUGGGCGUAAAGCGAGCGCAGGCGGUUUCUUAAGUCUGAUGUGAAAGCCCCCGGCUCAACCGGGGAUGGUCAUUGGAAACUGGGAAACUUGAGUACAGAAGAGGAAUGUGGAACUCCAUGUGUAGCGGUGGAAUGCGUAGAUAUAUGGAAGAACACCAGUGGCGAAGGCGACAUUCUGGUCUGUUACUGACACUGAGGCUCGAAAGCGUGGGGAGCAAACAGG
rnacentral:rRNA from 1 species